ACUAGUGGUAGAGACUGGUUCCAUCUAGUUAACAGAAGAUAGUACUAGUGGUAGAGACUGGUUCCAUCUAGUUAACAGAAGAUAGUACUAGUGGUAGAGACUGGUUCCAUCUAGUUAACAGAAGAUAGUACUAGUGGUAGAGAGACUGGUUCCAUCUAGUUAACAGAAGAUAGUACUAGUGGUAGAGACUGGUUCCAUCUAGUUAACAGAAGAUAGUACUAGUGGUAGAGAGACUGGUUCCAUCUAGUUAACAGAAGAUAGUACUAGUGGUAGAGACUGGUUCCAUCUAGUUAACAGAAGAUAGUACUAGUGGUAGAGACUGGUUCCAUCUAGUUAACAGAAGAUAGUACUAGUGGUAGAGACUGGUUCCAUCUAGUUAACAGAAGAUAGUACUAGUGGUAGAGACUGGUUCCAUCUAGUUAACAGAAGAUAGUACUAGUGGAAGAGAGAGACUGGUUCCAUCUAGUUAACAGAAGAUAGUACUAGUGGUAGAGACUGACUGGUUCCAUCUAGUUAACAGAAGAUAGUACUAGUGGAAGAGAGAGACUGGUUCCAUCUAGUUAACAGAAGAUAGUACUAGUGGUAGAGAGACUGGUUCCAUCUAGUUAACAGAAGAUAGUACUAGUGGUAGAGAGACUGGUUCCAUCUAGUUAACAGAAGAUAGUACUAGUGGUAGAGAGACUGGUUCCAUCUAGUUAACAGAAGAUAGUACUAGUGGUAGAGGGACUGGUUCCAUCUAGUUAACAGAAGAUAGUACUAGUGGUAGAGGGACUGGUUCCAUCUAGUUAACAGAAGAUAGUACUAGUGGUAGAGACUGGUUCCAUCUAGUUAACAGAAGAUAGUACUAGUGGUAGAGAGACUGGUUCCAUCUAGUUAACAGAAGAUAGUACUAGUGGUAGAGAGACUGGUUCCAUCUAGUUAACAGAAGAUAGUACUAGUGGUAGAGAGACUGGUUCCAUCUAGUUAACAGAAGAUAGUACUAGUGGUAGAGGGACUGGUUCCAUCUAGUUAACAGAAGAUAGUACUAGUGGUAGAGACUGGUUCCAUCUAGUUAACAGAAGAUAGUACUAGUGGUAGAGACUGGUUCCAUCUAGUUAACAGAAGAUAGUACUAGUGGUAGAGACUGGUUCCAUCUAGUUAACAGAAGAUAGUACUAGUGGUAGAGACUGGUUCCAUCUAGUUAACAGAAGAUAGUACUAGUGGAAGAGAGAGACUGGUUCCAUCUAGUUAACAGAAGAUAGUACUAGUGGUAGAGAGACUGGUUCCAUCUAGUUAACAGAAGAUAGUAC